AGGGUGUAAACGCUGCAGACUUGGUGUUGGAGGCCCUUUGGGGGGCAUUCAGUGCCGGAGAGAAGUUGUUAAGUCUGCUACUUGGGGAGUACGUCCGCAAGGAUGAAACUUAAUGGAAUUGGCGGGGGAGCACCGCAACGGGAGGAGCGUGCGGUUUAAUUGGAUUCAACACCGUAAAACUCACCAGGGAAGACUGUUACAUGAAGGCCGAGAUGAAGACUCUGCUAGAUUUUCAGAGAGGAGGUGCAUGGCGUCAGUGACU
rnacentral:rRNA from 1 species